rnacentral:rRNA from 1 species
UACGUAGGGACCAAGCGUUGUUCGGAUUUACUGGCGUAAAGGGCGCGUAGGCGGCAAUUCAAGUCAUCUGUGAAAUCUCCGGGCUUAACCCGGAACGGUCAGGUGAUACUGUUUUGCUAGAGUGCGGAAGGGGCAAUCGGAAUUCUCGGUGUAGCGGUGAAAUGCGUAGAUAUCGAGAGGAACACCAGAGGUGAAGACGGGUUGCUGGGCCGACACUGACGCUGACAGCGCGAAAGCCAGGGGAGCAAACGGG